GACGAACGCUGGCGGCGUGCUUAACACAUGCAAGUCGAACGGAAAGGCCUCUUUCGGGGGGUACUCGAGUGGCGAACGGGUGAGUAACACGUGAGUAACCUGCCCUUGACUUUGGGAUAACUUCAGGAAACUGGGGCUAAUACCGGAUAGGAGCUCCUGCUGCAUGGUGGGGGUUGGAAAGUUUCGGCGGUUGGGGAUGGACUCGCGGCUUAUCAGCUUGUUGGUGGGGUGGUGGCUUACCAAGGCUUUGACGGGUAGCCGGCCUGAGAGGGUGACCGGCCACAUUGGGACUGAGAUACGGCCCAGACUCCUACGGGAGGCAGCAGUGGGGAAUAUUGCACAAGGGGUGGAAGCCUGAUGCAGCAACGCCGGGUGCGGGAUGACGGCCUUCGGGUUGUAAACCGCUUUCGCUCAUGACGAAGCUUUGUGUGACGGUAGUGGGUAAAGAAGCACCGGCUAACUACGUG
rnacentral:rRNA from 1 species